rnacentral:rRNA from 1 species
ACGGAUAACAUACCGAAAGGUAUGCUAAUACGGGAUAAUAUAUUUGAGAGGCAUCUCUUAAAUAUCAAAGGUGAGCCAGUACAGGAUGGACCCGCGUCUGAUUAGCUAGUUGGUAAGGUAACGGCUUACCAAGGCAACGAUCAGUAGCCGACCUGAGAGGGUGAUCGGCCACAUUGGAACUGAGACACGGUCCAAACUCCUACGGGAGGCAGCAGUGGGGAAUAUUGCACAAUGGGCGAAAGCCUGAUGCAGCAACGCCGCGUGAGUGAUGAAGGCCUUCGGGUCGUAAAACUCUGUCCUCAAGGAAGAUAAUGACGGUACUUGAGGAGGAAGCCCCGGCUAACUACGUGCCAGCAGCCGCGGUAAUACGUAGGGGGCUAGCGUUAUCCGGAUUUACUGGGCGUAAAGGGUGCGCAGGCGGUCUUUCAAGUCAGGAGUGAAAGGCUACGGCUCAACCGUAGUAAGCUCUUGAAACUGGGAGACUUGAGUGCAGGAGAGGAGAGUGGAAUUCCUAGUGUAGCGGUGAAAUGCGUAGAUAUUAGGAGGAACACCAGUUGCGAAGGCGGCUCUCUGGACUGUAACUGACGCUGAGGCACGAAAGCGUGGGGAGCAAACAGGAUUAGAUACCCUGGUAGUCCACGCUGUAAACGAUGAGUACUAGGUGUCGGGGGUUACCCCCUUCGGUGCCGCAG